rnacentral:rRNA from 1 species
GGAAAUUACAGGUAAGCUCUGGGAGUGGACCUUUUAGCUACUGGGUACCGA